rnacentral:tmRNA from 1 species
CCCCUUGCAUCAUGAUCUCUGUGGGGCUAGAUUGAGUUUGUUGUGGGCAACCUCGACUAUGGCGAUAAACGCACCCGUAAUAAUCGGAUCGGACCCGGGGGCGGUACC